GGGCGGUUAGCUCAGAUGGCUAGAGCGUAUGCUUGACAUGCAUAAGGUCACAGGUUCAAGUCCUGUACCGCCCACCA
rnacentral:tRNA from 1 species